AUUGAACGCUGGCGGAAUGCUUUACACAUGCAAGUCGAACGGCAGCACGGGGCAACCUGGUGGCGAGUGGCGAACGGGUGAGUAAUACAUCGGAACGUGCCCAAUCGUGGGGGAUAACGUAGCGAAAGUUACGCUAAUACCGCAUACGAUCUACGGAUGAAAGCGGGGGAUCGCAAGACCUCGCGCGAAUGGAGCGGCCGAUGUCAGAUUAGGUAGUUGGUGGGGUAAAGGCUCACCAAGCCAACGAUCUGUAGCUGGUCUGAGAGGACGACCAGCCACACUGGAACUGAGACACGGUCCAGACUCCUACGGGAGGCAGCAGUGGGGAAUUUUGGACAAUGGGCGCAAGCCUGAUCCAGCCAUUCCGCGUGCAGGAUGAAGGCCUUCGGGUUGGUAAACUGCUUUGUUACGGAACGAAACGGACGAGCUCUAAUACAGUUUGCUAAUGACGGUACCGUAAGAAUAAGCACCGGCUAACUACGUGCCAGCAGCCGCGGU
rnacentral:rRNA from 1 species